rnacentral:rRNA from 2 species
GAAUGCUGACAUAAGUAACGAUAAAGCGGGUGAAAAGCCCGCUCGCCGGAAGACCAAGGGUUCCUGUCCAACGUUAAUCGGGGCAGGGUGAGUCGACCCCUAAGGCGAGGCCGAAAGGCGUAGUCGAUGGGAAACGGGUUAAUAUUCCCGUACUUGGUGUUACUGCGAAGGGGGGACGGAGAAGGCUAUGUUGGCCGGGCGACGGUUGUCCCGGUUUAAGCGUGUAGGCUGGUUUUCCAGGCAAAUCCGGAAAAUCAAGGCUGAGGCGUGACGACGAGGCACUACGGUGCUGAAGCAACAAAUGCCCUGCUUCCAGGAAAAGCCUCUAAGCAUCAGGUAACAUCAAAUCGUACCCCAAACCGACACAGGUGGUCAGGUAGAGAAUACCAAGGCGCUUGAGAGAACUCGGGUGAAGGAACUAGGCAAAAUGGUGCCGUAACU